rnacentral:rRNA from 1 species
GUGAGGAAUAUUGGUCAAUGGACGAGAGUCUGAACCAGCCAAGUCGCGUGAAGGAAGACGGUUCUAUGAAUUGUAAACUUCUUUUGUGCAGGAAUAAAGUGGGUUACGUGUAACCUUUUGUAUGUACUGUACGAAUAAGGAUCGGCUAACUCCGUGCCAGCAGCCGCGGUAAUACGGAGGAUCCGAGCGUUAUCCGGAUUUAUUGGGUUUAAAGGGUGCGUAGGUGGAUUGAUAAGUCAGCGGUGAAAGUUUGCAGCUUAACUGUAAAAAUGCCGUUGAAACUGUCGGACUUGAGUGUAAAUGAGGCAGGCGGAAUGUGGUGUGUAGCGGUGAAAUGCAUAGAUAUGCCACAGAACACCGAUUGCGAAGGCAGCUUGCUAAGAUGUCACUGACGCUCAUGUGCGAAAGCUAGGGCAGCGAACGGGAUUAGAAACCCGUGUAGUCC